CCUACGGGUGGCAGCAGUGGGGAAUAUUGGACAAUGGGCGAAAGCCUGAUCCAGCCAUGCCGCGUGUGUGAAGAAGGCCUUCGGGUUGUAAUGCACUUUCAGUGGGGAAGAAAGCCUUGGGGCUAAUACCCUCGAGGAAGGACAUCACCCACAGAAGAAGCACCGGCUAACUCCGUGCCAGCAGCCGCGGUAAUACGGAGGGUGCGAGCGUUAAUCGGGAUUACUGGGCGUAAAGCGCGCGUAGGCGGUCUGAUAAGCCGGUUGUGAAAGCCCCGGGCUCAACCUGGGAACGGCAUCCGGAACUGUCAGGCUAGAGUGCAGGAGAGGAAGGUAGAAUUCCCGGUGUAGCGGUGAAAUGCGUAGAGAUCGGGAGGAAUACCAGUGGCGAAGGCGGCCUUCUGGACUGACACUGACGCUGAGGUGCGAAAGCGUGGGUAGCAAACAGGAUUAGAUACCCGAGUAGUC
rnacentral:rRNA from 1 species